GUAACCAGAUCUGCAGGUGAGAAGAUGGAUGCUUCAACUCUGGAGUUUUGUAAGGAGAUGGUCCCGGAGUAUGAAAACUGGCAAAUGUAGCCUCAGCUCCAAGAGAUUGGUAAGACCCAGAGACCAAGAAGAAGGCGUGGAGGUUGAUACUAUUAGACCCAGAUUUUCUAUGUUCUCAGUCUUUGGGGCUCAAGCCCAUCUGCCUCAGGAGAGCAGAAGAAAAGGAGCAUUCAGUCUGACAUGAGACCAAGAUUUUAAAUGGAAUGGAAAUGGACAUUUUAGAACUUAGAUGCUGAGAAGACAACAAGAUCUACCAGAAACAUCAAGAGAAUGAAAGGGAGAUUAAGCCAUGUCCCUGUGAAGACAGUGACGGAGAAAAAAAUGAACCUAGAUUCUGAUCACUUAAUAAAACAGGAACAUAAGUAAAGAUAACAGAAAGAGUUUA